rnacentral:tRNA from 1 species
AGACUGUUAGUAUAACCGAUAAUAUUCUAGUUUGUCAUACUAGAGAUGCUUAAUACUCUUGAGCACUGUCUU